AUUUUAAUAGUUUAUUAAAAAUAUUGAUUUUGUAAUUCAAAGAUACUAUUGUUUAA
rnacentral:tRNA from 1 species